rnacentral:rRNA from 1 species
ACGGAGGGUGCAAGCGUUAUCCGGAUUCACUGGGUUUAAAGGGUGCGUAGGCGGGCAGGUAAGUCAGUGGUGAAAUCUCCGGGCUUAACCCGGAAACUGCCGUUGAUACUAUCUGUCUUGAAUAUCGUGGAGGUGAGCGGAAUAUGUCAUGUAGCGGUGAAAUGCUUAGAUAUGACAUAGAACACCCAUUGCGAAGGCAGCUCGCUACACGGUUAUUGACGCUGAGGCACGAAAGCGUGGGGAUCAAACAGGA